GAUGAACGCUGGCGGCGUGCUUAACACAUGCAAGUCGAACGAAGCAUUUAAGACAGAUUCCUUCGGUUUGAAGUCUUUUAUGACUGAGUGGCGGACGGGUGAGUAACGCGUGGGUAACCUGCCUCAUACAGGGGGAUAGCAGCUGGAAACGGCUGGUAAUACCGCAUAAGCGCACAGUACCACAUGGUACAGUGUGAAAAACUCCGGUGGUAUGAGAUGGACCCGCGUCUGAUUAGCUUGUUGGCGGGGUAACGGCCCACCAAGGCGACGAUCAGUAGCCGAGCUGAGAGGGUGACCCGCCACAUUGGGACUGAGACACGGCCCAGACUCCUACGGGAGGCAGCAGUGGGGAAUAUUGCAAAAUGGAGGAAACUCUGAUGCAGCGACGCCGCGUGAGUGAAGAAGUAGUGAGAUAUGUAAAGCUCUAUCAGCCGGGAAGAUAGUGACGGUACCUGAAGAAGAAGCUCCGGCUAAAUACGUG
rnacentral:rRNA from 1 species